UUCAUGAUAUAAUUUUUUCUUUUUUAUACAUUUUUCUCUUCUACAGUUUUUUUAUUUUUGCCUAUCAAGCAUGAUAACAUUAUUUUCCCUUAUCUGAUAUUUUCUGCCAGUAAACUGCUUUUUUGCUAUCUUCCAUGAGAAGAUAGGAUAUCUGAUAUCCAUAAUGAUUGUACUUUUGAUAAAGUCUUUUUCAAUAAAAGGAACUCAUCCUUCUGGAUUUUCUGACUUUUCAUUCGUAUUACUGUAUUACUAAUAUGGAGUAUGAGAUGACAUUGACAUUUAUCUUUCUGUAAAUAACUGAAUAUGCACUGUGUUACCCAGGUUUUUCUUUGGUCAUUUGAGAAUCUUAGUCCUUUUAGCUUCUGUUGUAUUUAUUAUCGUCUGUGAGGUUUAUGUAUGAUGUACUUUCAUGUUGCUCUAAUGCGAAAGUUCUAGAGAAGGUACGGACAUAUUUGCUUAGUAAAUGUUAUUUAAAGACUUAACUUAUUGUUGACUUUGUUUAUUAUGUUUUUAGGUAUACAACACACCAUGAGAGGAGCCUUUCACCGGUGAAGACGUUGAUUUAGUACAAAACAAAAUUGCAUCUUAUUUAACGAAUAACUAUCAACUAUGAGGUUUGAAGUAAUCAUUUGCCAAAACUUACUUUUUGUACAUAGAACUAAAUAUUUAGUAAUGAUACGAGAUUUAGUUUUAGUUGGUUUUGUAUUCUAACUAUGGUCAUUUCAGGAUGAUUAGUUAGGGUGAUGGAUGAUGGAGUUUGGUUUGUUGGUGUAGUUGGUUAUCGGAGAUUGAGAUGUGGCUAUGUUUUACAAGUGAAAUUGAAAAUAAAAAUAUUUGGGUUGUCUUCAAAUAUAAAGGAAACUCUGCCAAAAUUUGUACUUAGUUUGGGUAAUAAAAAGGCAGAAUUGCCUCUAUAUUUAAAUAUUUUUUUUAAAAAAAAAGUCAUUUGCUACGUUUAAAAAGCAAAAUAGUAGCAAAUAUAAUUCAAAUUAUCCGCCAUAACAAUGACAAUUGCUGCAUUUUUUUACCAAAAAAUACUGCAAAAAACAAUUGUAUUUACCACAUUUUUCUGUGAAAAAUGCUGCAAUUUACAGUUUUUUUGCAGUAUUUUUUUGGGCCGGCAAAUGACAUGGCACAUUUGCAGCCCCCAAUCUGCCGCACCACGAUAAAUGCAGCAAACGAGGCUGUUUCAUGGGCAGCAAAUCCCCUUUAUUCUACUAGUGUUUAUACUUCUUGUAUCUUCGUUCUUUGUAUUUUUCUUCUCUAUUUCAUAUGGCUGGUUCGUCUUCUAGAAUGGGGAAUCUUCUCAUGUUCCAAGAAUCUUUGAUGACAAAGCACGAGGAAAUGCAGUCAGCUUGCAAUUCUUCAAGGAUGAUAGAAGAUGCUAAUUCAACUGGGGUGGCCAUCCUUUCAAAGUUUUCAGAGCAAAGAGAAAGCAUGAAAGAUUGCACAACGCAAGUUACUUGAUGUGCUAAGGUUGAUUGAGAGGCUGAAUGGUGUAGAUACUUGGAUAAAAUUUGCUGGCAUGAUCCUCACUUUUAUCGUUUUGAUUGUAUUGUGGAGGUGAAAACACUAACAAACCCCAUUGUGAUCUGUGAUGAAUUCCUUGCUGUCUAAACCUGUCUCUUGCAAAACAACUCGGAUUUAUUGCCUAGGAUAAAAAUCUGGUAUGCUUCACGUUUAGUAUCACAAUUGUUGGAUACCGUCAUACAGAAUGAUUAUUGUAAAAAGAUUGGUCAUCGUGAUAAGCUUUUGAUUGUCUACGGAAAUGUAAGUACGACAUAAUUGACAAUCACUCACCAAUUUCUACCAUACUUUGCUCCUUCAUCUGACUUUAUUAUCUCGCAGUUGUACCGAUCACCAUCAAUAUGUCUACACUCUCCACGGACGUACCCCUACUUUCAGAUUGAACCUCAUCGGCUCUACCAAGUGACAGUUCAACCUCAUAGAACACCAACAAUCAUCACCAUCGUCGAUGCAUCAAACUUGAGCCCCUUUUCACGGUGUGUUUUUUCUUUUGAACAAGUAUGAAACUUUUCUUUUAUUAUUAUACUUGGUAUAUAUUUCUCUCCUUAAGUUUGUUGUAAUUUAACAUAAUUAAUCCUUUCUUUUUUGAAAUUGUAUUAUUCUAAUACUUCGUAUAUAAUUUCUCUCCCGA